rnacentral:ncRNA from 1 species
CCGCACGCGUCGGGAGAGCGUGUGACCGCGUAGCUUCGCAACGCCGGUCGCGCCGCCGAAGGGGCACACCCGCAAACUCUCAGGCAAAAGGACCGACCGCGUCGGG